rnacentral:tRNA from 1 species
GUGUAGCUCAGUUGUAGAGCACCUGCCUAGCAUGCACAAGGCCCUGGGUUCCACCCCCAGUAC